rnacentral:misc_RNA from 1 species
UUUCCGUAGGUGAACCUGCGGAAGGAUCAUUAGUGAAUUGAAUAUGUUAGCGGACCUCUUCGGAGUCCCUAGCAUCAAAUCAUAUCCAUACACCUGUGAACUGUAAGGCUGUCUUGAAAACGAAAGUGAUUAGAGCGCCUGCCCAUUUUAUACAAACAUUAAAGUAACAAACGUAGUCUUAUUAUAAUCUAAUAAAACUUUCAACAACGGAUCUCUUGGCUCUC